AAGCAGCUUGCUGCUUUGCUGACGAGUGGCGGACGGGUGAGUAAUGUCUGGGAAACUGCCUGAUGGAGGGGGAUAACUACUGGAAACGGUAGCUAAUACCGCAUAACGUCGCAAGACCAAAGAGGGGGACCUUCGGGCCUCUUGCCAUCGGAUGUGCCCAGAUGGGAUUAGCUUGUUGGUGGGGUAACGGCUCACCAAGGCGACGAUCCCUAGCUGGUCUGAGAGGAUGACCAGCCACACUGGAACUGAGACACGGUCCAGACUCCUACGGGAGGCAGCAGUGGGGAAUAUUGCACAAUGGGCGCAAGCCUGAUGCAGCCAUGCCGCGUGUAUGAAGAAGGCCUUCGGGUUGUAAAGUACUUUCAGCGGGGAGGAAGGGAGUAAAGUUAAUACCUUU
rnacentral:rRNA from 1 species